GUGGGGAAUAUUGGACAAUGGGGGCAACCCUGAUCCAGCCAUGCCGCGUGUGUGAAGAAGGCCUUUUGGUUGUAAAGCACUUUAAGCAGGGAGGAGAGGCUAAUGGUUAAUACCCAUUAGAUUAGACGUUACCUGCAGAAUAAGCACCGGCUAACUCUGUGCCAGCAGCCGCGGUAAUACAGAGGGUGCGAGCGUUAAUCGGAAUUACUGGGCGUAAAGCGAGUGUAGGUGGCUCAUUAAGUCACAUGUGAAAUCCCCGGGCUUAACCUGGGAACUGCAUGUGAUACUGGUGGUGCUAGAAUAUGUGAGAGGGAAGUAGAAUUCCAGGUGUAGCGGUGAAAUGCGUAGAGAUCUGGAGGAAUACCGAUGGCGAAGGCAGCUUCCUGGCAUAAUAUUGACACUGAGAUUCGAAAGCGUGGGUAGCAAACAGGAUUAGAAACCCGAGUAGUCC
rnacentral:rRNA from 2 species